rnacentral:rRNA from 1 species
AAUGAACGCUGGCGGCAUGCUUUACACAUGCAAGUCGAACGGCAGCAUGGGCUUCGGCCUGAUGGCGAGUGGCGAACGGGUGAGUAAUAUAUCGGAACGUACCCAAGAGUGGGGGAUAACGUAGCGAAAGUUACGCUAAUACCGCAUACGAUCUACGGAUGAAAGUGGGGGACCUUCGGGCCUCAUGCUCCUGGAGCGGCCGAUAUCUGAUUAGCUAGUUGGUAGGGUAAAGGCCUACCAAGGCAUCGAUCAGUAGCUGGUCUGAGAGGACGACCAGCCACACUGGAACUGAGACACGGUCCAGACUCCUACGGGAGGCAGCAGUGGGGAAUUUUGGACAAUGGGGGCAACCCUGAUCCAGCAAUGCCGCGUGAGUGAAGAAGGCCUUCGGGUUGUUAAGCUCUUUUGUCAGGGAAGAAGCGGUUGUGGCUAAUAUCCAUGACUAAUGACGGUACCUGAAGAAUAAGCACCGGCUAACUACGUGCCAGCCGCCGCCGUAACAC